GAGGGACUGACAUGCAAUGGGAGGAGGAACAGUGAACAAAAGGGCAGGUCUUUGGAGAGAUGGACAAGUGGGGCAAAACCAACACAUGGGGUAAAGGAGCAAGCCCUUGAUCUAGUCCUCUUUUUAAUGCAAAUACUUCGCAGCACUGUGCUGACCAAUUCGAAGACAGCUUCCCCUUUUCUACAGCUUCCAUAUUUUGACCAUCUAUUAUCGCAUACUCAGAAGCUCUUUUCCCAGAGACUACUCUAGAGGAUCCAUCUGUGAACAAGACUCUCCCAUGAGACUGCUGCAGCUGCAAUCGCUUGCAGGCAAGUUGGCCACCCCCGGGCUACAGGAUCUAGUAAUUUGGACAGAAAUGCUACAGGUUUUCGUGAUCCUCCCCAUUCUUGGAUCUUCACGCUCCCUUCACUCACAACCCCACCCUGCCAACAGGCAGCAUAUGUUAGCUGUUCUAUAUCGGGAUUCUCCUGAGUUCGCAAAAACUGGUUCAGUUGGGAACACAUCCAUGGAUCAUGAGUUCCAUACCAUGGCCACCUUCCUUGUAAUUUCAGCUUUGGCCAAAUCUCUGUACAAUAAUAAAUCAUUCUAACUUGGUCAAGGGUUUUAGUGGCUUCUUAAGAAUCCCAAUGGUCUAAUAACUGUCCAAGUGGACUAUCUAAUGGAAUACUCUUUAUCUUCUUUUUUCCUUUGAAAGGGAUCCCUGUUUUACUAACACACUGACCCAUCCUUAAAUAAAUAAACUAAGAUCCCAAAUGUGCCCCUACCCAAACGGAAAUUUACUGACGGGCAACACAAAUCUACAAGUAAAUCAUGUAUUUUUCGUCUUUUUUUCAACUGAAUAAAUAACUUUAACUUAAGCCUUUCUUCCCCCCUUUUUAUAACUUAUACCCUUUCUCAAUCACUCUCCCUCUCACUCUCUCUCUCUCUCUUUUUACCCGGCUAAACUAACUGCAUUCACACCACCUAAAUGUACCCCCGCGCCUCGCCUCUACCCUAGAGACUCUUGAGCACCCUUUUCGACGCAGCCAGGGUCCCUAGUAUUAGAAUCCCCUCCCUGGGACCCAGGACCUUCCCUUGUCUAGCCACCUGCCAAGCUGGACCUCAAGUCCUAACCCCGGACUAGACUGUCCUGUUCUAAUACCGUAUCUGCCUUCCUCACUUUUUUGAACGGAGGUAGGAAGGUUCCAGGAG